UCCUGGCUGUAAACGCUGCAGGUUUGGUGUUGGAGAUCCCACGAGGGUGUCCAGUGCCGGAGAGAAGUUGUUAAACCUGCCGCCUGGGGAGUAUGGCCGCAAGGCUGAAACUUAAAGGAAUUGGCGGGGGAGCACCGCAACGGGAGGAGCGUGCGGUUUAAUUGGAUUCAACGCCGGAAAACUCACCGGGGGCGACUGUUACAUGAAGGCCAGUUCAAAGACUUUGCCUGAUU
rnacentral:rRNA from 1 species